rnacentral:rRNA from 1 species
AUAUCAAUAAGCGGAGGAAAAGAAACCAACAGGGAUUACCCUAGUAACGGCGAGUGAAGCGGUAACAGCUCAAAUUUAAAAUCUGGCCUUUACGGGUCCGAGUUGUAAUUUGUAGAGGAUGUUUCGGACAAGGCUGUGGUUUAAGUUUCUUGGAACAGAACGUCACAGAGGGUGAGAAUCCCGUCCAGAACCGAUGGCGGCGUCCAUGUGAAACACCUUCGACGAGUCGAGUAGUUUGGGAAUGCGGCUCAAAAUGGGAGGUAAAUUUCUUCUAAAGCUAAAUACCGGCCAGAGACCGAUAGCGCACAAGUA